rnacentral:misc_RNA from 1 species
UGUGCGUUCAGUAGUUUAGUUUUAGUAUCAUUAAAUACUUAAAUGUUAAAAUAGUAAAUAAAUAAGUUACAUAAAUAAUAUAUUUAUUGCGAAUUGAUAUUUUUUUGACAACAGGAUGAGCAUAUUAGUCGAUAAGGAAUUACGAAUCAUGUUCGAAGACCGAAAUUUUAUUAUACUUUAGCCUGUAAACUACAUGACUGUCGAUUCUGCUGACGAAAGCCAGAACCUUAUUUCCAAUGCCAAUAGUGAUGUCCAGUCAAUGUUAAUCUGAAAUUCUUAGACGUUUGGUAUCAACACUUAUACCUAUUUUAAAAGUAUAAGCAAAAGUGCUUGGUAUUUAGGAUCUCAAUAAGAACCGUACAAAUUUAGUUUCCAGAAUGAAUCCUCAAGAAAUUUCGAUUCCAGUUCCUUGGGGACAUAUUGCUGGUACCCACCAACAAUGUAUAAUAUUUUAAGUGUUACACGGUGGACAAAAGUCGGCGUCUCACUCAUGAUUCCCGUUGUGAUUUGUAGCGAAACUGUGGAAAUCCAAAGACGACGGCCGCGGCGAACGGGUCAUGU